GUUUAGAAUUUUAAAAUCAAUGUAAUUCAUAUUAAUUAUAAACACAACAUAUUUCAAAAGAUUUUUUACGAUAAAAUUCCUCCACAAGAACAGAAGGUAAAUUACUAAGCGUGAUAAGUCAUUUAUGAAAAAUCUGUCCCUAAGAUCACACUUAACAGAGAAAGAUGCUUUCACCCUGAGAUAAUUUUAAGACAAGAAUGUCCAGUCACCUCCUCCUUCAUAUCAAUAUUGUGCUGAUAAUCCUACCUAAUGAAGGCA